rnacentral:rRNA from 1 species
UACGUAGGGUGCGAGCGUUGUCCGGAAUUACUGGGCGUAAAGGGCGCGUAGGCGGCUUCUCAAGCGUGUGGUGAAAGUCCGGGGCUCAACCCCGGAUCGGCCGUGCGGACUGGGGAGCUCGAGUUCUGUAGAGGCGGGUGGAAUUCCGGGUGUAGCGGUGGAAUGCGUAGAGAUCCGGAAGAACACCGGUGGCGAAGGCGGCCCGCUGGGCAGAGACUGACGCUGAGGCGCGACAGCGUGGGGAGCAAACAGG